AUUGAACGCUGGCGGCAGGCCUAACACAUGCAAGUUGAACGGUAACAGGAAACAGCUUGCUGUUUCGCUGACGAGUGGCGGACGGGUGAGUAAUGUCUGGGAAACUGCCUGAUGGAGGGGGAUAACUACUGGAAACGGUAGCUAAUACCGCAUAACGUAGCAAGACCAAAGAGGGGGACCUUCGGGCCUCUUGCCAUCGGCUGUGCCCAGAUGGGAUUAGCUAGGAGGUGGGGUAACGGCUCACCUAGGCGACGAUCCCUAGCUGGUCUGAGAGUAUGACCAGCCACACUGGAACUGAGACACGGGCCAGACUCCUACGGGAGGCAGCAGUGGGGAAUAUUGCACAAUGGGCGCAAGCCUGAUGCAGCCAUGCCGCGUGUAUGAAGAAGGCCUUCGGGUUGUAAAGUACUUUCAGCGGGGAGGAAGGGAGUAAAGUUAAUACCUUUGCUCAUUGACGUUACCCGCAGAAGAAGCACCGGCUAACUCCGUGCCAGCAGCCGCCGCCG
rnacentral:rRNA from 1 species